GAUGAACGCUGGCGGCGUGCCUAAUACAUGCAAGUCGAGCGACCGGACGAGAAGCUUGCUUCUCUGAUGUUAGCGGCGGACGGGUGAGUAACACGUGGAUAACCUACCUAUAAGACUGGGAUAACUUCGGGAAACCGGAGCUAAUACCGGAUAAUAUUUUGAACCGCAUGGUUCAAAAGUGAAAGACGGUCUUGCUGUCACUUAUAGAUGGAUCCGCGCUGCAUUAGCUAGUUGGUAAGGUAACGGCUUACCAAGGCAACGAUGCAUAGCCGACCUGAGAGGGUGAUCGGCCACACUGGAACUGAGACACGGUCCAGACUCCUACGGGAGGCAGCAGUAGGGAAUCUUCCGCAAUGGGCGAAAGCCUGACGGAGCAACGCCGCGUGAGUGAUGAAGGUCUUCGGAUCGUAAAACUCUGUUAUUAGGGAAGAACAUAUGUGUAAGUAACUGUGCACAUCUUGACGGUACCUAAUCAGAAAGCCACGGCUAACUACGUG
rnacentral:rRNA from 1 species